GCUUCUGGCAGGACCAAUUACUUCAAAGAGGAUGAUGGGUAUCAAAGAGUUUGUUUUCUUUAUAGAAAAGCGACUGCUGAACUUUGGUAGGCCAAUGAUGCAGAGGAACUUUGAAUGACUGUCCAGGCAGCUUGAGGUCCCUGUCAUUAGGUAACAUUUCACUCUUCUGGGGUCUUUGAUGGAGAUUGAACAAGUGAAGACUGAACACAUGGAUGGAUAGGGCCCAGAACUACUGACUUCUAAUCUUGUAGAUAUUUGCAUGUGAGUCACGUGUUCUACUUGAUGACUUCUGAAGUGGAGGACUGCUUUAAGGCACAAGGUCACCACUAAGCAUCAGCUGUACAUCACUCAAAUGAAGGUGCCUUGAUGCCUGGAUUCUCUUCAAGGACAUUUGAAGGGCAGGCCAGCAGAUGCUUCUGGAGCUUGGCUAUAAAUACCAAAACUAAAGCUGUUUAACUUUAAGAAAGUAUUUUCCUAUGUGAAAACUCACUCCUUGGGGAUAACAUUAUAAUAAAAACAAAUUCCACAAGGGAAGUUUGUGUCACUUGACUAUUCUUUGACAAUAAACGAUGAAGCAAAUAUUG